rnacentral:piRNA from 1 species
GUGAAUCAAUGAGUUUUAUUGGGAUU